UACGAAGGGUGCAAGCGUUACUCGGAAUUACUGGGCGUAAAGCGUGCGUAGGUGGUUCGUUAAGUCUGAUGUGAAAGCCCUGGGCUCAACCUGGGAAUGGCAUUGGAUACUGGCGACCUAGAGUGCGGUAGAGGGGUGUGGAAUUCCCGGUGUAGCAGUGAAAUGCGUAGAUAUCGGGAGGAAUACCAGUGGCGAAGGCGGUUCUCUGGGCCUUACCUGACGCUGAGACGCGAAAGCGUGGGGAGCGAACCGG
rnacentral:rRNA from 1 species